AUGGGCAUUUGAGGAAAUGGUCAAGUGUAAUUUCACUUGUGGCUUAACAUUAGAACCUGAACGCUGACGAAAAAGCAACUGUGUGAUCAUUUGUGUCUCUGCCCCGACUAUCCAGGACCAGGUGGCUGGGGUGCAGCUAAUAGGCUGGAUUACUCUUACGAUGACUUCCUGGACACUGUGCAAGAAACAGCCACAAGCAUCGGCAAUGCCAAGUCCUCACGGAUUAAAAGAAGUGCCCCAUUAUCUGACUAUAAAAUUAAGUUAAUUUUUAACAUCACAGUGUGCCAUUACCCGAUGAAAGAAAUGAUACCCUUGAAUGGGAAAAUCAGCAACGACUCCUUCAGACAUUGGAAACUAUCACAAAUAAACUGAAAAGGACUCUCAACAAAGACCCCAUGUAUUCCUUUCAGCUUGCAUCAGAAAUACUUAUAGCCGACAGCAAUUCAUUAGAAACAAAAAAGGCUUCCCCCUUCUGCAGACCAGGCUCAGUGCUGAGAGGGCGUAUGUGUGUCAAUUGCCCUUUGGGAACCUAUUAUAAUCUGGAACAUUUCACCUGUGAAAGCUGCCGGAUCGGAUCCUAUCAAGAUGAAGAAGGGCAACUUGAGUGCAAGCUUUGCCCCUCUGGGAUGUACACGGAAUAUAUCCAUUCAAGAAACAUCUCUGAUUGUAAAGCUCAGUGUAAACAAGGCACCUACUCAUACAGUGGACUUGAGACUUGUGAAUCGUGUCCACUGGGCACUUAUCAGCCAAAAUUUGGUUCCCGGAGCUGCCUCUCGUGUCCAGAAAACACCUCAACUGUGAAAAGAGG
rnacentral:lncRNA from 1 species